CGUUACAACCGACGAUACCCGAAUGGGGAAACCCAGUGCAAUUCGUUGCACUAUUGCAUGGUGAAUACAUAGCCAUGCAAGGCGAACCGGGGGAACUGAAACAUCUAAGUACCCCGAGGAAAAGAAAUCAACCGAGAUUCCCCCAGUAGCGGCGAGCGAACGGGGAAGAGCCCAGAGUCUGAAUCAGUUUGUGUGUUAGUGGAAGCGUCUGGAAAGUCGCACGGUACAGGGUGAUAGUCCCGUACACAAAAACACACCUUCUGUGAACUCGAUGAGUAGGGCGGGACACGUGACAUCCUGUCUGAAUAUGGGGGGACCAUCCUCCAAGGCUAAAUACUCCUGACUGACCGAUAGUGAACCAGUACCGUGAGGGAAAGGCGAAAAGAACCCCGGCGAGGGGAGUGAAAUAGAACCUGAAACCGUGUACGUACAAGCAGUGGGAGCACCUUCGUGGUGUGACUGCGUACCUUUUGUAUAAUGGGUCAGCGACUUAUAUUUUGUAGCAAGGUUAACCGAAUAGGGGAGCCGUAGGGAAACCGAGUCUUAACUGGGCGUCUAGUUGCAAGGUAUAGACCCGAAACCCGGUGAUCUAGCCAUGGGCAGGUUGAAGGUUGGGUAACACUAACUGGAGGACCGAACCGACUAAUGUUGAAAAAUUAGCGGAUGACUUGUGGCUGGGGGUGAAAGGCCAAUCAAACCGGGAGAUAGCUGGUUCUCCCCGAAAGCUAUUUAGGUAGCGCCUCGUGAACUCAUCUUCGGGGGUAGAGCACUGUUUCGGCUAGGGGGUCAUCCCGACUUACCAAACCGAUGCAAACUCCGAAUACCGAAGAAUGUUAUCACGGGAGACACACGGCGGGUGCUAACGUCCGUCGUGAAGAGGGAAACAACCCAGACCGCCAGCUAAGGUCCCAAAGUCAUGGUUAAGUGGGAAACGAUGUGGGAAGGCAUAGACAGCCAGGAUGUUGGCUUAGAAGCAGCCAUCAUUUAAAGAAAGCGUAAUAGCUCACUGGUCGAGUCGGCCUGCGCGGAAGAUGUAACGGGGCUAAACCAUGCACCGAAGCUGCGGCAGCGACGCUUAGGCGUUGUUGGGUAGGGGAGCGUUCUGUAAGCCGUUGAAGGUGGCCUGUGAGGGCUGCUGGAGGUAUCAGAAGUGCGAAUGCUGACAUAAGUAACGAUAAUGCGGGUGAAAAACCCGCACGCCGGAAGACCAAGGGUUCCUGUCCAACGUUAAUCGGGGCAGGGUGAGUCGACCCCUAAGGCGAGGCUGAAAAGCGUAGUCGAUGGGAAACAGGUUAAUAUUCCUGUACUUGGUGUUACUGCGAAGGGGGGACGGAGAAGGCUAGGCUAGCCGGGCGACGGUUGUCCCGGUUUAAGCAUGUAGGCGGAGCGACUUGGUAAAUCCGGUUGCUUAUCAACGCUGAGGUGUGAUGACGAUGCACUACGGUGCAGAAGUAGUUGAUGCCAAGCUUCCAGGAAAAGCCUCUAAGCAUCAGGUAACAUUGAAUCGUACCCCAAACCGACACAGGUGGUCAGGUAGAGAAUACUCAGGCGCUUGAGAGAACUCGGGUGAAGGAACUAGGCAAAAUGGUGCCGUAACUUCGGGAGAAGGCACGCUGGCAUUAGGUAAAGAGACUUGCUCUCGGCGCCGAAGCCAGUCGCAGAUACCAGCUGGCUGCAACUGUUUAAUAAAAACACAGCACUGUGCAAACACGAAAGUGGACGUAUACGGUGUGACGCCUGCCCGGUGCUGGAAGGUUAAUUGAUGGGGUCAGCCGCAAGGCGAAGCUCUUGAUCGAAGCCCCAGUAAACGGCGGCCGUAACUAUAACGGUCCUAAGGUAGCGAAAUUCCUUGUCGGGUAAGUUCCGACCUGCACGAAUGGCGUAAUGAUGGCCAGGCUGUCUCCACCCGAGACUCAGUGAAAUUGAACUCGCUGUGAAGAUGCAGUGUACCCGCGGCAAGACGGAAAGACCCCGUGAACCUUUACUAUAGCUUGACACUGAACAUUGAGCCUUGAUGUGUAGGAUAGGUGGGAGGCAUCGAAGUGUGGACGCCAGUCUGCAUGGAGCCAACCUUGAAAUACCACCCUUUAAUGUUUGAUGUUCUAACUCGGCCCCAUAAUCUGGGGUGAGGACAGUGUCUGGUGGGUAGUUUGACUGGGGCGGUCUCCUCCCAAAGAGUAACGGAGGAGCACGAAGGUUAGCUAAUCACGGUCGGACAUCGUGAGGUUAGUGCAAAGGCAUAAGCUAGCUUGACUGCGAGAGUGACGGCUCGAGCAGGUACGAAAGUAGGUCUUAGUGAUCCGGUGGUUCUGAAUGGAAGGGCCAUCGCUCAACGGAUAAAAGGUACUCCGGGGAUAACAGGCUGAUACCGCCCAAGAGUUCAUAUCGACGGCGGUGUUUGGCACCUCGAUGUCGGCUCAUCACAUCCUGGGGCUGAAGUAGGUCCCAAGGGUAUGGCUGUUCGCCAUUUAAAGUGGUACGCGAGCUGGGUUUAGAACGUCGUGAGACAGUUCGGUCCCUAUCUGCCGUGGGCGUUGGAAGAUUGAGAGGGGCUGCUCCUAGUACGAGAGGACCGGAGUGGACGAAUCACUGGUGUUCGGGUUGUCAUGCCAAUGGCAUUGCCCGGUAGCUAAAUUCGGAAGAGAUAACCGCUGAAAGCAUCUAAGCGGGAAACUUGCCUCGAGAUGAGUCUUCCCUGGGGCUUUAAGCCCCCUGAAGGAACGUUAAAGACUAUGACGUUGAUAGGCUGGGUGUGUAAGUGCAGCGAUGCAUUGAGCUAACCAGUACUAAUGAUCCGUGAGGCUUAACCUUACAACACCAAAGGUGUUUUG
rnacentral:rRNA from 1 species